rfam:Gossypium hirsutum cultivar TM-1 chromosome 5, whole genome shotgun sequence
AUCCCAUGAUGAGGACACUUAUGAAGCAAUUCCUUGAAUCUUUCCCAUGCCUCAGAUAAGGACAUGCCAUCCAAUUAUUGGAAAGUAAUUAUCUCUUGUCGCAACUU